AAUGAACGUUGGCGGCGUGGAUUAGGCAUGCAAGUCGUACGGUGGUAGCAAUAUCAUAGUGGCGAAAGGGAUAGGAAUAUAUAGGUUAUCUGCCCUCAGAUCGUGGGAUAGCCUGGGGAAACCCAGGGUAAUACCCGAUAAUUUCUUCGGAACAAAGGUGUGAUUCCGUCUGGGGAUGAGCCUAUAUCCUAUUAGCUAGUUGGCGGGGUAAUGGCCCACCAAGGCUGAGAUGGGUACGAGGCGUGAGAGCGUGUCCUCGAUCACUGGGACUGAGACACUGCCCAGACACCUACGGGUGGCUGCAGUCGAGAAUCUUCGGCAAUGGGCGAAAGCCUGACCGAGCGACGCCGCGUGUGUGAUGAAGGUCUUCGGAUUGUAAAGCACUGUAAGUUGGGAGGAAAUAUAUGGGGGCAAUCCCCUGUAUUUGACCUAUCUUCAAAGUAAGGACGGGCUAAGUUCGUGCCAGCAGCCGCCGUAAUAC
rnacentral:rRNA from 1 species